rnacentral:rRNA from 1 species
GACGAACGCUGGCGGCGUGCCUAUACAUGCAAGUAGAACGCUGAAGAGAGGAGCUUGCUCUUCUUGGAUGAGUUGCGAACGGGUGAGUAUCGCGUAGGUAACCUGCCUGGUAGCGGGGGAUAACUAUUGGAAACGAUAGCUAAUACCGCAUAAAAUUGAUUAUUGCAUGAUAAUUAAUUGAAAGAUGCAAUUGCAUCACUACCAGAUGGACCUGCGUUGUAUUAGCUAGUUGGUGAGGUAACGGCUCACCAAGGCGACGAUACAUAGCCGACCUGAGAGGGUGAUCGGCCACACUGGGACUGAGACACGGCCCAGACUCCUACGGGAGGCAGCAGUAGGGAAUCUUCGGCAAUGGGGGGAACCCCUGACCGAGCAACGCCGUCGGUAGGAAGUAUAGUGUUUUCGGAUACGUAAAGCUCGGGAAUAGAGAUAGACUUGGGUGAGAGC